rnacentral:rRNA from 1 species
UGAGGGAACGGUGAAAAGAACCGCGGGUAGCGGAGUGAAAUAGAUCCUGAAAUUUCUGGCUCACAAGGGAGUGGGAGCCUUUAUUGGUGACCGCGUACCUAUUGAGGAAUGGGUCAGCGAGUAAUUGACAGUAGCAAGGUUAAGGCAAUUGUAGCCGGAGCCGUAGCGAAAGCAAGUCUGAAUAGGGCGUUUAGUUGCUGUUAAUUGACCCGAAGCGUUAUGAGCUAGUCAUGGCCAGGUUGAUCUGUCGCGAAGGCGACAAGGAGGACCGAACCGGUUGGAACUGCAAAUCCUUCGGAUGAGCCGUGUCUAGGAGUGAAAAGCUCAUCGAAUAACGUGAUAGCUGGUUCUCUCCGAAACAAAUUUAGGUUUGACCUGCAAUUAAGAUCCGGUAGAGGUAGAGCUCUUAUAAGGCUAGGGGUGUCGAGAGACAUUACCAAACCUUGUUAAACUUCGAAUGCUACCGUAAAUAUUGUGGAGUUAGACGGUGACAGCAAAUUGCCAUCGUCGAAAGGGUAACAGCCCAGAUUUCUGACUAAGGUCCCUAAAUAAUAGCUAAGUGGGAAAAGAGGUGUCGCUGCUAAGACAUCUAGGAGGUUUGCUCAGAAGCAGCAAUCCUUUAAAGAGUGCGUAACAGCUCACUAGACAAGCGGCGAUGCGCUGAAGAUGUAACGGGGCUAAGCUAUUUACCGAAGUCGAAAGUCUAUUGAUUUAUCAAUAUGGCGGUAGGAGAGUGUUGUAUACGGGUUGAAGCUGAAGUGUAAGCGACAGUGGACUGUAUACAAGUAAUAAUGCUGAUAUGAGUAACGUAUGUAGAUGAAAAUUCUACACGUCGAAUACCUAAGGUUUCCUACGCAACGUUCAUCGACGUAGGGUUAGUCAGGACCUAAGCACAUCCUGAAAAGGUGUCGCGAUGGAUAACUAGUUAAUAUUCUAGUACUUAAAAUAUGGCGAUGGAGGAACGCAUUUGGAUUCAUUGGAGCCUCUUAAGGAUUGGGGUUGUAUAUCGAGGCUUGAUAGUAGGAAAAUCCGCUAUCUUUCGGCCGAGUAAAACACGUAGUCUGAGCAAUCAGACGUAAGUUCAGUUGUUUGGGUGCCAAGAAAAUCUUCUAGCUUAACAUAUUUUAACCUGUACCGAGAACAGACACAUGUAGGUUGGUAGAGAAUACCUAGACGGUCGAAACAACUAAUAACUAAGGAACUUGGCAAAAAAGCGGACGUAACUUCGGGAUAAGUCCUUCCCACAGCAAUGUGGGACGCAGCGAAUGUCGCGGGGGCGACUGUUUAUCACAAACACAGCUUCAUGCUAACACGUAAGUGGAUGUAUAUGAAGUGAUGCCUGUCCGAUGCCAGAAUGUUAAGCUCUCUUGUUCACGCUCGGGAGUCAAGCACUGGUGAAUGACGGCCGUAACUAUGACGGUCCUAAGGUAGCGAAAUUCCUUGUCGGGUAAGUUCCGACCCGCACGAAUG